rnacentral:rRNA from 1 species
GCAUAUCAAUAAGCGGAGGAAAAGAAACCAACAGGGAUUGCCUCAGUAACGGCGAGUGAAGCGGCAACAGCUCAAAUUUGAAAUCUGGCCCCUUUGGGGUCCGAGUUGUAAUUUGCAGAGGGUGCUUUGGCGUUGGCAGCGGUCUAAGUUCCUUGGAACAGGACAUCGCAGAGGGUGAGAAUCCCGUAUGUGGUCGCUCGCCUCCGCCGUGUAAAGCCCCUUCGACGAGUCGAGUUGUUUGGGAAUGCAGCUCUAAAUGGGAGGUAAAUUUCUUCUAAAGCUAAAUACCGGCCAGAGACCGAUAGCGCACAAGUAGAGUGAUCGAAAGAUGAAAAGCACUUUGGAAAGAGAGUCAAACAGCACGUGAAAUUGUUGAAAGGGAAGCGCUUGCAGCCAGACUUGCCUGCCGUUGCUCACCCGGGCUUCUGCCCGGGGCACUCUUCGGCGGGCAGGCCAGCAUCAGUUUGGGCGGUCGGAUAAAGGGCUCUGACACGUACUUCCCCUCGGGGUUGACAUACAGGGGAGCCGCAAUGCGACCAGCCCGGACUGAGGUCCGCGCAUCUGCUAGGAUGCUGGCGUAAUGGCUGUAAGCGGCCCGUCUUGAAACACGGACCAAGGAGUCUAACAUCUAUGCGAGUGUUUGGGUGUCAAGCCCGAGCGCGUAAUGAAAGUGAACGGAGGUGGGAGCCCUCUCGGGGGUGCACCAUCGACCGAUCCUGAUGUCUUCGGAUGGAUUUGAGUAAGAGCAUAGCUGUUGGGACCCGAAAGAUGGUGAACUAUGCUUGAAUAGGGUGAAGCCAGAGGAGGCUCUGGUGGAGGCUCGCAGCGGUUCUGACGUGCAAAUCGAUCGUCAAAUUUGGGCAUAGGGGCGAAAGACUAAUCGAA